rnacentral:rRNA from 1 species
GACAGAGGGGGCAAGCGUUGCUCGGAAUCACUGGGCGUAAAGGGCGCGUAGGCGGGGUGGCAAGUCGGUCGUGAAAUCCUUCGGCUCAACCGAAGAACGUCGGCCGAUACUGCCGUUCUUGAGGGAUGCAGAGGAGAUUGGAAUUCCCGGUGUAGCGGUGAAAUGUGUAGAGAUCGGGAGGAACACCGGUGGCGAAGGCGGCAUCCUGGACCACGACUGACGCUGAAUAGCGAAAGCCAGGGGAGCAAACGGG